AUUGAACGCUGGCGGCAAGCUUAACACAUGCAAGUCGAACGAGUGGCGGACGGGUGAGUAAUGUCUGGGAAACUGCCUGAUGGUGGGGGAUAACUACUGGAAACGGUAGCUAAUACCGCUUACCAUCGGAUGUGCCCAGAUGGGUUUAGCUGGUAGGUGGGGUAAAGGCGCACCUAGGCACCGAUCCCUAGUUGGUCUGAGAGGAUGACCAGCGACAUUGGAACAAUGCCACUGUCCAGACUCCUACGGUAGGCAGCAAGGGGGAAUAUUGCACAAUGGGCGAAAGCCUGAUGCAGCCAUGCCGCGUGGAUGAAGAAGGCCGUCGGGUUGUAGAGUACUUACAGCGGGGAGGCGUUACCCGCAGAAGAAGCACCGGCUAACUCCGUGCCAGCAGCCGCGGUAAUAC
rnacentral:rRNA from 1 species